CCUACGGGUGGCUGCAGUGAGGAAUAUUGGUCAAUGGACGAGAGUCUGAACCAGCCAAGUAGCGUGAAGGAUGACUGCCCUAUGGGUUGUAAACUUCUUUUAUAUGGGAAUAACAUGUUCCACGUGUGGGAUUUUGUAUGUCCCAUAUGAAUAAGGAUCGGCUAACUCCGUGCCAGCAGCCGCGGUAAUACGGAGGAUCCGAGCGUUAUCCGGAUUUAUUGGGUUUAAAGGGAGCGUAGGUGGAUUGUUAAGGCAGUUGUGAAAGUUUGCGGCUCAACCGUAAAAUUGCAGUUGAAACUGGCAGUCUUGAGUACAGUAGAGGUGGGCGGAAUUCGUGGUGUAGCGGUGAAAUGCUUAGAUAUCACGAAGAACGCCGAUUGCGAAGGCAGUUCACUGGACUGCAACUGACACUGAGGCUCGAAAGUGUGGGUAUCAAACAGGAUUAGAUACCCGUGUAGUC
rnacentral:rRNA from 1 species